CAAGAAAUCGUUGUCGAGUAAACCGAAGAGACGCCGUGAGAAACGCGCCAAAUUACGCUGAUAGAUUACACGUUCGAUGGAUUCAAGAUAAUAUUUUUCUGCGUCGUAAUGUGCUGUAACACGGCGGACGAUGAUAAGAACUUUUGAGAAGGUUAUAUACCACAAAUCAAUAUUUAUGAAUUCAAGAAUAUGAUUCAUGAUAUUAUCACACACAAACAGUCGUUCAGAUUUAAAAUUCAAGUCAUUUAAAAUUCAAAGUUAUUAUUUAAUAUUCAAGAAGCAACGACCGUAUCUGAAAAGUCGAUCCGAAAGACAGGGAUCUAUCGAAGAUCUGACGGCAAGAUUAGACGGAAAAAUAGGAUUAUCGAAAAUCGUUUAAGAAUCCAACAAUCGAGGAGGCGUUACAAUGGCUGAAAGAACGACGGUGACUGACAGUGAAAAAGUAAAAGAAAUCGUGACGGAUAAGACGCAGGAGGUCGUAGCCAUUUUGUCGGCCGAGACGCCGGUUGUCACGGAAGACGGAAGCGAAAUUAAAAAACGGGUCAAGAGGAAUAUUAUCACUGUGCCGGAACGCUUCGUCGAGAUCGAGAGAGACGGAAGAAGGUAUCGUCGAGAUAUGAAGGGACGAUGGAGGCUCGUAUUGUAUUGAUUAACAUUUCACACGGGAAUCCUCGACGAAAAGCUAAUCAGUCAUUGCAUAACAACAGCGUACAUCUUUAUAAAUGAUCGGCGACUAGCGAGAAAACAGCGUCGCAAAACAUUUCUGCUUUGUCAACGAAAGUAUUUAUACGUCGUACACGCCAUUUCAACAGAUCUUAUCGAGAGCAAACGUUCGAGACAGUUUAUAUUCGCCUGGUGAAUAUCGAGAAAAUGAAAUUUUGGAUCGUAUUGUUAACGAUUGCCGUGACGAUAAUGACCGUCGUAUCAUUAUCACCGAAUAGAAAUCGAGUCACAUCGUCUACCACUGAAGGAUCGGCAACAAUAUCACCGUUAAAUAUUAUAACAGUGCCGCAGUUCCCGUGUCCGAUUGGACAGCGACGUGACCAGCAGGGAAAGUGUCGAAUGAUUCUAUCCUUCUAGAAGAUUCUUAGGAGAAAUUUUAAGAAGAGAGAAUUAUGCAUGAUUCGACAAUACGAGCGAUGUCAUCCUAAAGUACGUACAAGCGUCGUGAUGAAAUAUCGUAACAAUGGGGCGAUGUGGAAAUGGUUAAAUUGAUUUGUCCAGCUUUGCAUUAUCAGAGGAAGCAGCUAUUCCGCUACCUCAAUGCGACCAUUUAUCGAUAUCGUUCAUUCCAAAUUAUUGUUAUAUUAAUUGUGUGAUAAAUUGUAGCUGUAAUAUAUGAAUCUCGAUAUAUGUAUUUUAUAUAACCAUAAAUUUUUUCAUUAGUUGAAACUUUUUUUAUAUUCAAUUUUGUAUGUAAAACAGAGGAAAUCAUAUACAUGUAUCUCAACAAAAUCUAGUAAUAAAUAGAAAAAAUUGACAAUAUAAAAAAUAAAUUAUAUAUUAUUAAUAAUAUAAAGUUAAAAAAAUUAACAGUUGUAUUUAAUGCUAAAUAUGAGAAAAAAAUAUGAACUUAUACAUCUUCUUUUUUUCACUGUCUUUCUAUUUAUUAAAUACAAAUAUAUUCACUAAUAUAUAUAAUGACCUAUUUUUUAUCGAUUGAUGAAUGAUGUUAUUUUUAAAACAUCUUUCACUAUAUCGAAGAUCGAUAUUAGUCAGUGGUAAGUAAGUAUAUCUAAGGGAUAUAGUUAAGAAGGAUAUAGUGUCUAGAGCGUGUAAGAAAUUGUAGAAUAAAAUAUAGAAAUAUGCGAAAUUGACCAGGUUUAUUAUUGCAUAAUAUUAUUAUAUUUAUUAAUUUAUUAGAUUUGUAAUAUUUUUGUCGCUUUUACUAAAAUGUCUAAAAAAAAAAAAAAUUUAACAUGGAUACAUAUGUCAGUUUAUCACAUUGAUAUUGAUAACUUCGAUCGCGAUGACGUGAUCCAAUACGCUCCAAUCUGCACUUUUAAUUUUAUUUUUUAUUAUAUUAAAGCAAAGUGCAUCGUCAGAUGUAUAACAUCCGAGUAUAAAUAAGAAACAUACGAUAGCGAAGCGGCAAAAUAUUGGUUGAAACAAACGGAGCAAAACUGUAGUGUAUAAUACAUAGAAAAUUUCGAAAAUUUCGCGAAACUUAAUAUUUAAUAAUUGAGAAAAGAGAGCCGCUAAAGGUAAGUAAAUGCGGAAUUAAAGCUACAAAAAUUAUUAAUAAUUUAACUUUUAUUUUUAGACAAAAUAUUAUUAUAAGAUAAAGUUUUCUAUUAUUACUUUAUUUAUAUUUGUGACGACGACGUUAAUCUUUGUACCGCUGAGAAUCUGUCAAGAAAAUGAGGAUAAACAUCUUAUGUUUAUACCGUCGGAGAAGCUUGGUUACGAGCGCAGGAUUGUAGACGCGCCCAGAAGAACAACUGCAAAAUGUCCGGAAGGCGAGAGACAAGAUUCUAGAGGAAUAUGUCGCAAACCUUUAUAAUGAGACAGCAGUAACCACUUUUUGAAAAAAUACAUUAAGCAAAAAGAAUAAUAUUAAAAAAAUAAAAGCGCAAUUAUAUAUUAUACACAAUUUUAUACGAAAUCGGCGCUUGAAUCACAAGAGUUUUUAUCAAAGCUCUCGGAUUUCAAUAAUGCAAAAACUAUUAAUGUAAUACUUUAAUAUCCGUACUUUUCCAUUUAAUCGUACGUACGUUUUUACUAAUAAUCAGAAAAAGUAUGUUUCAUUAACUAUGAUUAUUAAUUAGCUAAUGAUGUUGGCGCAGUUUUAAAUGUUAUGACUUUAAGUAAAUUAGCUGAUAAUAAUUAUAUCGAUAUAUGUAUAUUUUUUUCAAUUUAAAUUUUGUCAAAUAAAUAUACAAAGAUGUAAAAUAAAUUAUUUAACGAUCUAUGUAUAUUGAGUUUAUAAUAUAUUUUAGAGUUAAUAUACUUUCAGAGUUUAUUUAUUAAAAUAUAACUUCUUCCGGUGUGAUUUCCUUCAUCUCUGAAAAUUAUAUGUUCUGAUUUGCGACAGAUUCCUUCCUAAAGUACGACAUGUGUAUUUUAUGUCUGUUUGCAGACCAACAUUUCAGCAAUAUCAGUUAAAAGCUAAAAGCGAGUUGAAGCUCCAAAAUAUCGUAGUAGCGAUAGAACGACGAAAAUACUCCAUGUAUCAACAAAAUUCUAAUAAAUUCACAUUAUACGAUUAAUAUUAUUUGUAUUGUGUAUGCGUACAUGUCAUGAAUUAAAGGUAAAUACAAUUAAUUA